AUUGAACGCUGGCGGCAGGCCUAACACAUGCAAGUCGAGCGAGCGGCGGACGGGUGAGGAAUGUAUGGGGACUGCCCGAUAGAGGGGGAUAACUACAGGAAACGGGGGAUAAUACCCCAUACUGUCGGAUAACCCAUAUGGGAUUAGCUAGUAGGUAAGGUAACGGCUUACCUAGGCGACGAUCCCUAGCUGGUCUGAGAGGAUGAUCAGCCACACUGGGACUGAGACACGGCCCAGACUCCUACGGAGGCAGCAGUGGGGAAUAUUGCACAAUGGGCGCAAGCCUGAUGCAGCCAUGCCGCGUGUAUGAAGAAGGCCCUAGGGUUGUAAAGUACUUUCAGUCGGGAGGCGUUACCGACAGAAGAAGCACCGGCUAACUCCGUGCCAGCAGCCGCGGUAAUAC
rnacentral:rRNA from 1 species